CUCAGUGGAAAAUAAAAACGAAGGUUGCUUGAAAUUACAUAGUGAAAGAUUGAACUCGUCAGCAAAAGAAAUUAAAUUGUUACGCGACUUUGAUUAUUCUAGUCAGCAGCUUUAGAUUUGUCUGGAGCAAACGUCGGCGCAUGGUUUAUCCACCUGUCGGUAAGGUUAGGGCGGUCAAUGGGACCCACCACCCAUCACUUCAACUUCACUGUAACCAAAUCUAAAUCCACUUACCCAUUUGCUACUUUGCCAACAAACUAACCACGCACGGCAACAGAAUAAUAGUACUGCAUUCAAGUUAAAAACAAAAACAAUAAUCAGGAAUCUUAAACUUCC
rnacentral:lncRNA from 1 species